GGGACGUUAGCUCAGUCGGUAGAGCAGCGGACUUUUAAUCCGUUGGUCGGCGGUUCGAUUCUGCCACGUCCUUCCA
rnacentral:tRNA from 1 species